rnacentral:lncRNA from 1 species
AACACUAAUUCCAGUAGACACGAUGCAAGCAUGCAUGGUUAAAGCUCCUGUUUUUUGCUUGUUGCAUAAAUCUUAUAAACUUGUUCAAUUAAAUAUUAUCCUAGCUGGCUUCAACAACGAAACAACAAAGUCCAAAGUGUGCAUUCUAAGCCACACCUUUCCUGCAUUUUGUCUCUUUCCACAAUUUCAGACUAUCAGUCUGUCUCCAGAUCGUACUCAUGACAGACGUGCGUUGUCCGAUUAUUCCUGGCUCGCGUCUGUCAAACACAUCGACGCUCCAUCGCGAAUAUCACGUAAUCCGACUCUUCUGCGUCGGAAGCUUCCGAGGAAGCCAUAAAUAUAUCGCCCGCUAUCCACACAGUUUUGCGAGGCUUGCAUCCGCGCCGUUAAACGCGCAGUGCACCAAGCGUAUCGCGUGCUCUCGCAAUAUUGCGGCGGACUAGUGACAAACAUAUCGGAGACAUUCGUCAUCGUGUGCGAACGUGGUACACGGACCUACGCUGACUUGCAGGCUAAUUGAUCAUCAAAUAUGGAACAUCGUCCUCGCGUCUGCGAAACACUUGUGCAAGUUAAUCCGACAGCUGCUGCCACCGCCACCAGCAUUCAGCUCUGUGUUGCUCCUUGCGAGAGGCCGUUUCACGCGAGUUGCACUCAUAACAAAUUGCCCGUCGCGGAUGACGAUGUAACCUGCUCGAAGAAUCGCUCCAUGGCUCUCGACGAGGCAAUUCCGCUUCCGCCAUCCGCGGAUUUGUACGCGCAGCCAAACGAGGAACUUCUGCUACCAUCGACGGCUGAUGUAGAGUAUGAUUGUUUAAUCGAGGACUUGACUGAUUACAUAGAGAUCAUAGAAGAUCUAAUAUUGAGUCUGCUGAGAAGAAUCACGAUGUUGCCCUUCAUAUCUAAGAACAAAGAGAUCUUCGUCAAGAUCGCAAUGGUCUUUUGAAGUUCCAAGAUAUCCAAGGCUAUCAAUCACCUAUCCAUCGCUAAUGAGAGACACGCUGCCGACUCUGAAUUGCCGUUGAAUUGCGAGAAAUAAUCUUUCGAAGAAGAAUAAUGCUAGUAACAUGUGAUACGCUGUCUCAUUUUGUGUUCGUUUGAUCAUAUAAUUAUCGGCGAGUUGCUUAUACAACGAUAUUUACGUAGCGAUUAAAAAUAAUAUCAAUGCAAAUGAAAUUAUCGGUGUAGUCGUAUGAAUUGACGUCUUAGCAACACGUAGAAUUUUUCGAGGCUUUGACGGAGACUUGUUGCGCCUAGAGUACAGAAUACUACGGACGAAUGCUGCGAUCGAUAGUUCUCUAGCUUCUUUCUGCGUUCACGGUGAUUAUUUUAUGUUGCGACAUUGCAAGAUAAAUACGUUUGCUGGCGAGGAAAAAGACCUUUUUAAUUAUUCCCUCUCUUUUGUGUGUGGUAUGUACGUGUUUGUGUGUUUGGCUCGAGCGUAAUGUCAGUGAAUCGAUACCGGACGACUGUAUGGACGCGGUUAUGGCGUGUGCGUUAAUAGUUAAUUACGCGACUCACUACGAAGCAAUUAAUGCAGUAAGCAUUCGCGAAUGCACAAAGCGCGUGCACAUUUCGGUGACAUUUGCGAACGGUACGGAGAUAGCGAAAUUGAUUCGGAAUAUCUCACGUUUCAACCCGAUGUUUCAGCACGACGCUAAUUUACGAGUUGCUUUGCACGACACAUCAAUAGAUUUUCCACUGACAUAAUUUCAAUUUCAAUGCACUUUUCUGUGUACGACUGUGGUAGAAUGCAUUCGCUAUUGUAUUACGCGCCGCUGCAGAAUAUCCACUACAAUGAGCAGCAUUCCGACCCUUUUACUUGUUGCUAUCGCGCGAUGGAAAAAUGAUUUCCAUCGUAAAUGAAAAUUGAGGCUUACAUUACGUACCCGUAUGAUCACCCGGGGCUGCUUUUAAUCUAACGCGCUCGCAUACAUAUAGACAUACAAACACGCACACGCACGUGUAGCCACUUUGAAAGAGUGCGAUGCGUUGUUAUCGGCUUAACGAUCAACUUUAAUGGCCACAUCAGUUUAUUGGAUUGCCGUUACAAUUUGCCGCGAGUAUAUUCCUCGCAAAAGAGGGAAUUAAUUGCACACCGCCGAUACGCGAAUACGUUGUGCGGGUGUUAUUGCCGGAGCGCAUUUUGUCGGUGGUAGGCAGAACGCCGCGACGCGAAGUUAAUUACCCGUUUACAAGAAUUAGCGCAUCGGUAAUUUCGGCCUUGGGGCCGGAAACAGAUCGGUGGCGGUAAUUGUUCCGCGGUUAAUAGCCGCGGUAAAUUACGCGGAUAAGAUAGUCCACGAUGCACCACCUCGUAAACGCACCAACGUGUCCCAUAAAUAAUGAUAGCGCGGUACACGUCACCCGAUUCUCUUGAACAGUAUUAAUAAAAAAAGAAAUAUAUAUGUGACACAAUUUUUAUUUUAUAGCUCUGCAGAUCACGCGUCUUUCGGCUGUGAUUCAGAAUUUACGUAAACGUUCGCUCGAACGUUUUCUGGUUGAAAUUUUUAUUAAUAAUAUACAGCAUUUUACAAGAUCAUUGUAAACACGAGCUUAUUAGUCAAGUACUUGUUCAUUCUUCGUCGAACGGAUUGGUCACUUUACUGACAGUUUCUGACUUGUGCAACUUUCAUCGCGGUCAUUGAGCACCGUAUGACGUACAGCGGGGAAAGAAGGAGAGAGAGGGACGCUAAUCUCCGUAUCGAGCGACGUCCGUUAAAACCGCACUUUACGAGCAACUGAAUUACCUUCAUCCGAGCAGCCUUGACCUCGUAAUGAAAUCGCAAUGGUUACGCCGAGAGAAAUCGUAAAUAUUUUGUGAGAAAAUGAAUCGCCGAUGUUCCGCAAUGGAAUCGCGAUAUUUACCGUACCGAUUAAAACUUGCAGCGAGAUCGAAGCAGUUUCGCGAAAGUGUCUUGCACGUGAAGCUGAUCUAGUACAUCUGCAAUUCAUAGCCGCAGUACGAUCCAGCAAGAGAUUCGUGUCAGAAAUGUUAAAGUCCGAUCGUAAGCACGCACGUUCAAAUAAUUUUUCCUGAGCAUCUUCACGUAGCAUUUGCACCCCUGCUUAAUGGACCGGAGCGUAAUCUGGGAAAUGCAGGACGCGGUAGGCAAACUUGAGAGUUAAUUUCGAUAACUCCUCCGCGUAAGGCGCGUACGUGUGCGACAAGGAGAUUACGCUGACGGCAGACGAUAUAGAUCUCGACGCGCGCAUCAAAGAGUUAACGGAUAAUGGGGUGCGCUGCUGAAUCGCGGGUGUCGUUGGCCGAGUUCGCCGAGUUGUCUCGCUUGGCGGAAUUCAAAUUACUCGUAACCGGCUACGACGGAUAUAGACGGCACAGAUCCGCGCGCGUGUCAAAGCGACGACGCGCUCGGAAGCGUGCGAAUUAUUUAGGAAGCCGCCGACUUCGUAAUCGUUCCAUCUACGUCAGGCUUCCGGCCCUCCUCGUUCGCCAUCCUCGCGCCAUCCACCCGCCCGCUCUCUCGACCCGCCUAACGCGUUUACAUCGUUUCGAUCCCCCUAACGUUCGGGUUUCCGGGUGAAGUGGCAGUGGCGGCGACGGCGGCGGUGGCGGUGACGGCGAGGGGUCGAAAGGGGGUAGCGACGGCGGCGUCGGUGGCGCGAGCGGAACUUCGACGGUGUGCAGAGUGGUUGGAUUUCAGACCUCGGUGGAGGGAGGCUCAUGCGAGGGGUGGAUGUGACGGAGAGAACGAUUGCGGUGGUUGAGUGGUAAAAGAGAGAGAGGGAUGAAAUGCAAGAGGGUCGGGGGGAGAGAGCGACUUGUGCUGGUUGAACAGCGCGUGCCGCUUCAGCGCCAGAUGGCCCGAAAGAGCGAGCGAGCGAGACGGAAGGCGAGUGAGGAACGAGGAGAGAUAAAGAGGAACAGAAAGAGAAAAGUAGUAAGAAAGAGCGAGAGAAAAAGAAACGACGAAGAACCGUUCCUCGCCUAGUCUCUGGCGUUUAGCUCGAGGCUGGUUGCGUAAGACGAAAAGGACGAAAGAAGGAGCGGGACAUCGGACGGGGGAUAUAAGCUCCUCUUCUCGGAGCCCCAGGAUGAAUGCUGGGUCUCUUUUCCUGGCGGGCGUUUCGUGAGAAACGUUUAGCUCUCCGGAUUUCGGGGUAUCUCUUUCUGUGUAGGUAAAGUUGCGUUUCUCUUGUGACGUGGGUGGCACCCAGGGAUCGUGUAUCUGUAACUAGAACCCCUUAACGAUGAACGCUAGGGGAUGAAUUGUUCCGUCACGGUUAUACCUCUUUUAUCUAGCUUUCUGCACGACGCAUUUUGUUUUGCACCGGUUCCUCGUAUUUGUCUAUAGUACCGAUGGUUGUAAAGAUGCUGCCAAAGGGACAACGUGGUAUGCUGCUGCGACACGAAAGUCGUUAUUGGUGCAGGGUUUUAUUACAAGAAAGCAAGAACUGACGUGGGUUCUUGGAACACGUAGGUUAACAUGUCGGGAAUCAUUUAUUCAUUCGUCAUGUAGCGAUCGUUGCAUGCCUACGUGCUCCUGAAACAUACUUUUAUUAUUAGACGAAACGCAUUGAUUUCGGCACAGAUAUUUCAAUAAGUAUUGCUUUAUGAUGCUUAGAUUAUUAGGAUACGUGUAAAUUACAUAAUUUGUAGUCUGUAGUGCGCCGAUGCACAAAUAACGAUAAAAAUAUAUUUAAAAAAAGAAAAGCAAGUAUCAUUUGUAAAUUAAAAUUGUUUUAUGUAGACUGUGCGAGAUAAUGUGAAAUUCCCGCGUUUAACAUCAAGCCUGAUUGGAAUUCUCCCUUUGAGACGAAAGAAAGAGAAGUACACACGAGACUCGAUGCAUCCCAGGCGUUAUGUGACCCGAGAGAGAAUGAUGAACGGGGAUCGAGAAAGUCGUCGCUGUUGCACCGCGGUGUGAUUCGCAAAGAUGCAUGUAAUAACGCGUGACGGCUCGUCGCUCUCGCCGAAAGCGAGCCGUCGUAUCGUCCGCGCGCGCGCGAGUGAGCGCGUAAACAGAGACAGAAGAUGAGUGAGCAAAAGAGAAAGAAAGAAAAAGUGUGCAUCUGAGAGAGUAAGAAUGAUAGGGGAGACAAAAAGAGCGAGAGGGAGACAGAUCCCCCUCUCCUCCACCACCGGCAAUUCGAUCUUGGCCGAAGCGCGCACCGAGUGCGGAGGGGAACGCACGAAAACGGACGAAGCGGUCGGCGGCGACGGACCCGCCGCCGCCGCCGCUCGGCUCUUCAGUGCAGUGCCAGCCGCCGUCGGUGUAGCGCGUGGUGGUCGUUACAUUCGUACGCCACGUGAACGAACGGACGAGACACGGACCAGAGUGUGAACGGUGCGCAUGUGUGCGGUGGUAGCCAGUAACGGCAGCAGGACGCACCACGGCAGGACCAGAUCGCGCGUCUUUCGCGGUUAAUGAUGGAUUUUCUCUCACGCGCCGCGUAGGCGGGCCAGGCGGUCUACGUGCAAACGGGGCGCACGCGCCGCACGAAGGAGAGCGUUUCAAAAGAGUACCCUCUCUCUCUCUCUCUCUUUCUCUCCCUUCGCACCGUGCAGCGUCAGGAACUCACCCGCGCGCGCGUGUGUUCUCAUCUAUUUCGCGCGUGCCCUCUCCGCCACGGCGAGAGAUACGCGCGCGUGAAGAUACAUUCUCGUCGGUCCGUUGGCGGCGCCGCCGAAGCGUUCGGUCAAUUAGCCUUAAUGGCACGACCUGCCGCGUCGGUCUCGGUCAAUUAAGUGGUGAUUAGUGCGCGGCCCGUGUGCCGCGUCGCUCUCUCGCAUCCCGUUCUCUUUCUCUCUCUCUCACUCACUCGCCUGAACGUAGGCGCGCAUACACGAUCCCGACACGCUUCCCACCAAUCGCCGCGUCUCGUCGGCCGAUUCCGGCUCGGUAGUCUCGUGUGGGGAGUCGCUCACGUUCGCAACGGCGAGAACAGUCGCGCGUCUCUCUCGGUGUGAGCGUCACCGCGUCGCAAGGUCGGAAAGUGGACGACGGGUGCCCCCUCUUGUCGCCGUCAUCAUCAGCGGGCGGCUCUCUUCGCGUCAACACGCUCGUUUCAGCGGGCGGACCCUGAGGACGCACGUUUGCGAGCACCGGCACGUCCGCGCGCGCGCGCUUUUAUGCGUAUAUAUGGCAGAACGAGCGCCCGCGAAUCAGAGGCCAUAAAUCACGCGUGGACAAGAGAAAGAGAAAAAAAGCGAAGAGAGUGAAGCGAGCCGGGAAUCGGAGCACACCCGCGAGGAUGCGCGUCGAGCGGUGAUACUCGCCACCGAUCGCUAUCGGGCUCGGAAAGGAUCGUUCGAAGCGAAUAUAAUCUGCCGGCGCUGACGGAACAGUGAGUGCGAUCGCAUGGAAAUGUCGCUGCGGGAUUCGAACGUACGAUAAGCGAGCGGACGGAUGGUGAGAGAAUCCACCUCCGUCGUCGGACCUAGCCUCACCUGGAUUUAGGUGUCGAAAGGAAGUGUGCGUGAGUGCGUGCGUGCGUGUGUGUGCCUACGUGCGUGUGUGCGUCGAUCGCGGAAUCGACCGCGAGGGAGACGAGCACGCUCGAGCGCGCGUUCGAGCCGACGAAAGAUGCUUCUUCGGCUCGCGAAGGGACAAACUCGUCGGCAUCGUCGCGCCGUCGCAACCGCGGCAUAACCGCGAAUUCCUCGUGUCAGCGUGGUGAAAGAUACGCGUAAGCUCGUCGUGCAGCACCGCUCUGCGAGGGACCAGCCGCCAGAAUGGACUUCCGGGCGCCACAUCCGCUUGUGCACCCCUCGCACGCUGGACACCCCUACUACUAUCCAGGUACGUAACGUUGUGGAAAUCUCAUGGAAAUUGGCCGUUUCAUAAGUAAGUCGUAAAUUAUUUAACAUUUGUGAUGAACGAGGUACACGGGUGUCAUUAAGCAAGUAUUCCUUUCUUUAACUCAGUUUCAAGAUUGCAAGUUUUUAAUUGCUUUGUAUUUAUUAAUAGUUAAGUAAUGCCAUAGAUACCAUGUACAAUUUAUUGCAACGUCGACAUGGCAGCAAAUCAAAUCGAGAAGCCAUAAAUUUGAAUUUUUUAAUAUUCAAUAUUGCUCCGUCAAUUUUUUGUAUAAUACAUCUUUUCGCAUUUUUUUAUUUUUUGUUUUUUGUUUAACCGAACCUUAAAUGUAUAAUGUUGAUCAGCUCGCGACACAUAAAUUUUAUCGUACGGUUUUAAUAUUUACGCGAGUUGUCAAAGUCACUAAGCUACUUUUAAUUCUUAAUGACUUUAUGAAUUUUUAUAAAGGCGGAAGUUGCAUUUCCAAGCCGUGGAAUUGCAUGCAUGGACAUUGCAACAUGUAGCAGAGUUUUUUGCGGUAUCAAAAAAGCCGCAUGCAUAUACAAUUGAAUGCAGUCACAGGUUAACUAUAUGUAAUUAUUUAGACAGUACGGAUUACUGUCAAGUCAACGUCGAGGUUUUCUAUGCAAGAUUUCCCUCCAAUGCAUUUCUUUUACUAAGACUUAGGAAUACUAAUCAAUCAGGAAUAUUAAUGUAUGCUACUCUGACAUGCCGGGGUUAAUCGAAACGUAUUUUAUCGCAAAAUAAUUCCAGAAAAACGCCAGCGUCAGAAGGCAAUGUUUUUUCUCCCAACGUCCGCGUAUUUUCUACUUUGUAACACACGCAUUAUUUCGCGUUGUAAGAUUAAUAUCACGAAUAAUAAAGCAUCCUGUGGUGCAUGCACUCGCGCUAAUCGUACAUUCUCGGGAUGCGAACCAAAGACAGAGUCGGACCGAUGGGGAUUAAUGAAGGGGUUUCAUCCGCGUUAAACAACCAGACAUAAUGAUUUCACGGGCGAGCGACCGCUCGCGCAGUUGCAAGCUUGCGCGGUGCCGCUGAUGGUGGCGCAACGAUGGUGGUGCAGCAGUGAAAUCGUCGAGCAGGGUGUUCUCUCGCACGCACCGUCGCCCCCGUAAUCGCGGUUAAUUAACGACUCCGGGCUAGUAACGAGGCUGCCGAUUGCUAGCCGUGAGCGCCGACCAUGAUUAUUCCCGCCCGUCUCUUUCCGCUUCCGGUUCGCCGAACGCUGGCGGUCCGAUUGUCAUCGUCGUUGCCAACCCCGAACUUGCGCUUGACUUUUUUUCCUUUUCGUUCCUCUACGUUUCUCUCUUGCCCAGCAGGUGCCUCGUUUUCGCUGCUUUUCACGCUUUCUUGCCGCGUAUCGUUAUCGGUGCGAUUUGCGUUGACGGAUACUGCGCACCGACGUUUCUUCUCAAAACGAUAGUGGAGUUGCAUUAAUCAUUGUUAUUAAUUUAUCGAAAUACAUUAAAAUAGUUUUAAGCAAAACGGAUUCGAUAACAAUUUAGUGGUUGAAGGAUGUAUCGCACGAGAGAUACAUAUUCAUGAUCGUACAUGUCAUAGUUCCUUAUCGCACAACGAUGUUAAUUACCCAGAUUGUGGAACAUCAGCAUGUUCAGUAUAGAUUAUCACACAAUGUACAAUAGCAAAGUUGCAAUGCGAUAGAAAUGUAAAAUGCAAAACUGUUAUGCGUUUACAUGUAAAACUGAUAGCCAUUCUGCGCGAUCGUUUUUUCUUGUCUUGUCUUACAUUUUUAAAACGAUUAUCUGAACGAAAGGAGACUUUUGGUAUAGAUCAGUUAUUUUGGAAUUUUCCCUCCAAAAAAGAGAAAAAAAAGGAUCGCCGUUCCACAUCGUUUCACGUCGAGGAUCUCGGAAAGACGCGCGCGCAAACGGGAACGCGGUGCUUAAAUUUCCGGGAGCGCGGGAUAAAUGCCGGGAUUUUCCUUCGGUACCGUGCCGUCGGCGUUCAGCGGAUAAAUGUGUUUCCCCGAGAGCGCGACGAGUGAUUAAGAUCUCGCGUUUUCCCCGUGCGUCUCGGAUGCAUCGCCGUAGCUGUCGACGGGGGGGAUGCAGCGGGAAACAUCUCUAUCCUGCCUCGGAAUGGAAGAAGAAGGAAGAGCAGCAGCAGCAGCAGCUUGAAAAGGGGAUCGCGAGCGGCGCGUUUUUCUUCUUGCUCGCUUUAAGCAGCCAGGCCGCUUUUCUUCCGCAGAAAAUGCGGCUUUUAAAUCUCGAUCCGCGUCGUUUCCCCGUCGGAAGAGCGGCAGCUGGUUUCUUUCUCCUUUUCUCUCUUUCCCUCUCGAGAAGACAAGGGGCGGGUGGAUGAAGGAGCGGAUAAACGGUCCAGAUGCAGGUGGCGGGGAGAGUCGCGGGUAGAAGAAGGAAGAAAAACCCGAGGGGUGGAUCGUCGAGCCCUUCCCACAGUCGGUCGGCGCUGUAGGUAUCUGUUCCCCGGCUGAACCGACGGAUAAGUCGAGGUCUCAGACGGGAUUCUUUAUUAAAAAUGUCUUUCAGAAACAAGGAGGAAAGAGAGACAGUGAGAGAAGAUUUCGGAGGUGUAGGAUAAUACGAAGGUUUCCGCGAGGGUUUCCGCGAGGGCGCGAGGGAGUCAGAACAGAAGUUGAAAUUCUUCCUGAUCUGUCUCGUCUCUCGGCCAGAUUAAUCUUGCAGAACGGCCCCCGGUGGAUCGUGCUUUCUUCCUCGUCCUCUUUUGUCUCUUCGCCCUCCGCGCCGACGGAUCAGACAUUAUUAGAGAGCAUUAGAGUCCUCUCGGUGUAAUUACGUCCACCCUCGACGCGCUCCCGCGUCUUUUAUUCUUGGCAGACCUUGCAUUUUCCUAGUUGAAGGCCGCAUUGGAUAUUGAAAGCCGUUGUUUUGAUGCAUUUAGGACACAGUUUUAUUAUCCGAUACAUGACAUGUUGCAUCUUCAUUUAAUAUUAAUAAUACAGACUCGAGCAUUUAUUUUCGAAGAAGCAGAAAAUUAGAGGAACAAUACUCGUGCUUAAAUUGUUGGAAGACUUGCCGAAUGCUUCUCUCUUUCUAGUCUUUUUUUUUCGUUUAUCACUACUUUCGGAUUCACCGGUUACAAGCUUCCGACUUGAAGAUACUUUCCCGCGAACGGACGACACGUCAUAGAUAUUCUGAGACGCGAGUCAUGGCGAAUCACCGGUUGAGCUCUCCCGUCCUCUCUGCAAGCGGAAUAUACACGGUUAGUGUGUAGGUACUCGGCGCGAAAAGUUCUCGUGGCCGUUAAUCUCUCGCCCUCUGGAAGUUUAUCGCGCGUUCCCUGAAAGCUCCGAGCAAGUUCUUCCGCGAGUGGGAUCUCGACGGUUUCUUUACCUUGCCUAUCAAGCCGCCAGCGCGAAAUGACUCGCCAGCACACGAGAGAGCUCGUUCCAGAGUGAGAACUUGCCGAGAUGGUGGCGUGCACCGUGUAUUUUUGCAGCCGAGCAUUAUUUUCAGAUGAAAUUUUCGUCGGGUGAGCUCGCGCACACGAUAAUCACGGUUGUCUAAUACGUGAUAAUCGGGAAAUGCCGUGUCACUUGAACGUUGCUGAUCAUUCGCAAGUUUCACUGACUCUUCCGGUUCCAUGGCACUUCGUUUGUCGAGAGAAAGCGCUUUUGCAUCGGUUGCAUAUACGUACAAUACUAGAAAGCGUUUAAAAAGCAUGCAACACACAUGUACAGUCAUAGGCACAAAGGUUGCGACACUUUUUUUUUACCUGAGUUUAUAAACACGCAAUCAAAUUCAGGAUGCGAAUCGCUGUGACGCGCACAUGUAACUGUGUUACACAUGUAUACGCAAAUUUGACAACUUCAUGAUCGUUCAUCGAGUAGGCACGCGUCACAGUGAUUCGCAUCCUGAAUUUGAUUGCGUGUUCAUAAACUCAGUUAAAAAAAAAGUGUCGCAACCUCUGUGCCUAUGACUGUACAUGUGUGUACGAAUGCGAUUGGUGAUAUCUGAAUUGCUGCUCGAUACUGGAGACCCGUUUGAGGGUCGACUCUUUCCGAGCCGACUUUUGUUAUCGGGAUAGCAAGCGCUUGGCCUCAUAUUUCUUUCUUUCACCGUGGCCUGCAUCCAUCCGCGCACAUGUGUGUCAAGAUAAGCACGAACGCUGACACGACACGACGGCGGUCGCGAGUACGUACUUACUUUGUACCGGCGUAAAUCGACGUCGAUUCGAGUUCACGCUUUCUGGAAUGGCGAAUGCGCUUUUGUCGCUUAUCACGGUAUACUUUGUGUAUUUAUUACACGCGCUGUGUUUCAUAAUCAUUUUACUUUUAGACAUUUUUUGCAAAAAACACGAUAACAGUUUUAUCCAAAAUUAAUUCUAGAUUUAACUGAAAGUAAAUAAUCUCAUUAUUUGGCGUAUUUGUAUCGAUCACAUUGCACGGAAACCAUACCAAUAAAGAUAUGUUACAAGGUAAAAUAAUCGCUAAGUCAAUGUACGUGAUCUCCGCCAGAGAUUCCUCAGUUGUAAAUUUUCAGACGGUGACCUAGCACUUGCUUCCGUGCAAAAUGGAUAGGUUUCGAGAUCUAUCUGGCCUCCGAAGAGCACCUGUGAAUUUAUUCCACGAAUUUAUAGCGCGAUCUUUGCCAGCAUGCGGCAUCGGGGGGUCUAUUUUUCGCAGCGGAUCCCAGCUCUUCUCAGAUUUUACGAAUUCACGAGCAGUCAGCAGGAAGAUGUACUUCCUAGAAGGAAAUUAUCUAUCUUCAGCUUUACGGCCGUUCACAGAGUCCUUGACGAGAACUGCUCGAGUCGAGGAAACUCGGAGGGAAGAUCGGUUGGUGCUCGCGACCUCAACGACACACUGGGUCGUUAAUAUUAAUUAGCGCCGGUGACAUCACGGGAGCCACCUAAAUAUUUGAUUACCCGGGAUACCCCGCAGAAGAGAGCAGGACUUGCUCUCCGGCUUUUCCGGAUCGUUAGUCGCUGCUAAUCACCCUUUAAACUCGUUCCGACGUCAGAAAAUGACCUCCUUCGCUCGGGGUCGUCUCUAGAUUAGACGUGAAAAUGAGGUUAAUGUGAAAUUUUCAAAUAUUGCCUGGUUAUUUACCUAUCUCGCGUCAAUCUUGUAAUUUGAUAUUAAACGAUCGUGAAAAUUAGAAUAAUUCAAGUUUUAGAUAAGUAGCCUGCAGAAAUUUGAAAACCAUGGAUAACACGAUCCUACUGAUCUUAUUAUAUUUAUCUAUUGUCACGAUUGUAGAUCAAUGUCUAUGCAUCUUCCUACCUGAAAUUUGCAACGUGCGUAUCGGAAUAUUUCUAAGGAAAGAGGAAAAGAAGAAAGUAUCUCCGUCGGUAGUGUUCCCGGAACGGGUGUCAUCGCGGGGUUGUACGAAGGAAAUUGGAGGCUUCUCGGGAACAUAUUGGCCUCUCAAUCCUCUCCAACUACCUAGCGCGAGCUCUCUUGUUGGAGGGGCGAAAGAGGAUGCAGGGUGGAAAGGAAGAAGGAAAGCAGUUCAGAGCUUUGGCACGGAGAUCUGGCAGAGUUUAAAGCUGGACAACUAGUUUCGUAAUCCCUCGUGUUCUAUCAUCGUCGUUAUAUCGUUUCGAGAAUGAAAAGGAGAAAGAAUGAAAAAGAGAAAGAAUGAAAAAGAGAAAGAGGAAAAGAGAGAUGGAUAAGUUUAGUUAAAAUAAACUUGUUCGAAGAACAGCAUACGAUUGCACGAGAUGGAAUAUUGGCUGGAGCGGUAUCGCAAUUAAUUUACACAGAGAAAUAGAUAUCAAAGAAAAAUCCAAUAUAUUUGAUCCGGCAAUAAUUUUUCAUAUUUAAUAAUAUUAAAAUGAUAUUUUACACAAAGUUUUAUGUCAGCAAUAUGUACAAGAAAUGUGUAAAUGACGGGAAAAGGAUUGUUCUGAAGGCAUAUUAACCCGAAUUAUUUUAACCGAAAUUUUAUUGAGAUCGCGAGAGCGGAAAGUGUGCCUAUAUGGAAUAAAGUAGGUGAGAGAAGAACCGUCUCGCUGCUGUCCUAGCUCGAAGAGGGUGAAAGCGUGUCACCGUCGGCACCGACAGCGACGACGGACCAGAAUUGCCCUAUCGGAAAAGGGUAUCGACCCCACUCGCUUCCGGCUCGUUCGCGUACGGAAAUGAGGCAGGUCGACGCGCUUCGUACUUGCGUACCACCUUCGCCCGCGCGCAUCGACUCCAAUCGGGGUGAACUUUCGUAAUGAAAGUUUCCGGGACUGCGGGAGGGAUCGUUUCUCGGAAAAUUCAUCCAGAGUUUGUUCUCAAGUGCAAGGAUUCCGAGAGAAAUCUCGGAUUGUUUAGCGGUGGCGUUAAUCGAUCUUGGAAUUGAAUUUGUUUUGGUUCGAAGUUAGUAUCGUGCGUGCAGGGUGGAGAAUCGCAUUUCAACAGUAACGAUAAAAUUUUAACACUAGAUUUCUUGGUCAAUAUCCUUCAAAUGUAUUUCUUUCGCGAAAAUUAAAAUAUAUUUUUUUAUUUUUUUAGCGAUUUAGUUUUGUUGAUCCUUAUAUUGCGCACAGGAUUUUCAAGUGAUUUGUAUUUCAGCGUAGCUCGUAUUCCAGCAAAUUUUCAGUUCUUGUGAUCACACCAUGGGUUAUAUGCCAGCUGAGCAACGAGGGAAAACGCAAAGCGCCUUUGGUCGUAAAAUCGGCACCUUGCCUUGGCAGAAGUAUGAAAUCGGUCAACCGGUGCCAACCGGUUCCCCUAGUUUCUUCGUCCGACAGAAAAUUGCUAAUGGUUUCCGCUCGGUCGGCCUGGAAAGGGUAGAACCAGCGGCGCGCUGCUCCAAGAAACGUUACUUCCUUCCUUAGGAAAAAAAAACGAGAAAGGAGCAAGGGGGAGGAAUAAUGUCGUUUCCCGCUGUUCACCCUCCCACGGCGCAACGCCCUUUAUCUGCCGGCGCGCUCAGCUUUAUCAAGGAACGCUUCUCUCUCGCAACCAGAACCGGUGUCGUAAAAAAAGGGAAGCCAGGAGAGAAAUUAUCUUUCCCUUUUCGCUCGGAGGGGCCAUCAACGGAGCCGGGCAGAGUUCUUUCGGCGUACUCUCGCCGCCUUAAAUAAUGCUGAAGGCGGGGAGUACGUUCCCGGAUAUCGCGGCAGUAACUUCCAAUUCCGUUAAACGAUCCCGCAUUGCGCGAACCUACUGCUGCAACUAAUUGCCUCGCGUGACACGGCGCAUCCGCUGGAAACUGCUGUCGAAUGCAAAUCUGACGCUUCUGCAAAUUUGUUAAAGAUCGCCGAACGAUAGUCGGAUAGUCGUUGAAAUUUUCCGAAUAUUCGCCGGGCGGUGCUUGCUUUACCACGUUCCACACUGAAUCGGCCCUUCAAGCAAAAAUUAUAGGUGCAUCAUUCUUUGAGGAUAUCCGAGUUUCAUCCAUUUCUAUAUGUGUAUGUAGAAGUAUAGAAGUGUGUGUUUGUGUUGGCGGAAAUAUCGACAAGAGCUACGGAAAAGGGGCUCCUUGGAAAGCGGUGCACGCGCGUCGCGAACGAGAUCGGAACAUAACAAUUACGUGCGGAACAAGCGGGUGGACUCCGUCUACCUCUCUUUUUUCUUUCUCUCGGCCCGUUAGGACGAAAAGUAUAGUGCUCGUGUACACAGUAGCGAACCGUAGCCAUACGCUGGCACCGGUUCCCUGCUUUUCUCUCUGUUGGUGCCUCCUUCGCCCGUCGAGCACGUCGACCUCGGGAGACCACGACAGUGCCAUUCUGAUAAUGAGCUUGCGCGCGCGGCACCGGAAACGCCGUUCACGUUCGGCUCGCUCGCUAUAUGAUACGUCGUAGGGAAUAGCGUGUGGAAUCGCAGGAUCGAUGCUUGCUUGCGACACCGAGCGUGCGCUCGUGCGUCCCGUGAUUCGCGUGACGCUCGUUUGCGUUAUUAAACGGACACGGAUUUGCACAACGGUGCCGGCGACGUCUCUAUGAUGUGUGGAGGUACACGAAGUCGCGGCGGAUCUGUCGUUUCUCUUUGCGGUUCGUCAAGAUGCUGAGAUCAUCGCGUUCUCCAUUCGCGGUGGAAUCUGUAGCAGUAAGCAAUCAAAACGUUUUUGCUGGUGUGCUUGAACCUAUUCUGCUGUUCGUUGCUGUUCUCGAGUAGUCAAAAUGUGCCUGCGCCCCGGAAUCGAAUUGACUCACCGAAAUUAUUUCGGUCUCGAUACCCAAGUCGCGGGUCUUGAUCGAUCCGGUCACCGCACACGAAUGAGAAAGCGGCGAACAAACGUCGUUCACGUAUGUGAGUAGUUGUAUGUACGUGUGCGUAUUUGUAUGCCGAGCGAUUUGCAUCGCCUGCGCGUUCGCGGACUCCAAAUGCCAUUGUUCGCAGCGUUUAACAGCGGAUUGACCGGCUACCGCUCCACCGUGCCGGGAUUAAGCCUGGUCCGUGUAAAAUGAUCGGAGGGGGGGCCGAUUCGGUGUGUAAACACACGUGUAGAGCCCGCGCGCAUCCCCCGGAUAUGCGUUACCCUCGCGACCAUACGCAUUCGACGAUGCGCGCGUGUCACUUGACGACCACAUUCUGUGUGUAUCGUCGAUACGCUGUCACCGAUCGCCAGUGAUCCUUAGACAUCGGGAAUAAUUUUCGAAAUUUCAUACCGCAAAAAAUAGCCCUUUUGAGAAGGGAAACGAGAAGAGAACCGCAUGGAUAUCGCUACGUAUGCCGCGUUGAAUUAAAACGACUGUCGUGUAAUAAUCGUUCGCGGUCUCGAAUAUGAAUAUUUUUGCGCUCGAAAACGUGAUUUCUGUCGCGCGAGUUCACCCCGUGUCGAAUUAUUUAGAAGUAAUGAAAUUACAUUAAAUAAAUUUCAUUAUGAUGCGCGCACGUUACGCGCGCCGAUGUGAAAUCAUGCGAAUUUCGGAGGCCCAUCACGAUGGUCGGUCGACCACAUCCGACCAGAUAAAUAAAGCGUAUUUUGUUUCUGCGAAUAUUUUGACAGAAAUAAACCGUCGCGAUGGGAAUUUCUCAUAAAUCCAAAAUUCGUUUGGCUCGCGGAUCACUCGUGGAACUCGAGGGGGUGCGAUCCGCCGGUGGAAUGGAGAACCCCUGGACUAUACAGUUCGCGGUUACCCGACACAUACACACACAAACAAACACACACACACACACAUAUACACAUGCAAAGGAAGAGAGCUGUUCGCGCUUAUAUACCGCGUGCACAAAUGCGAAUGCGCGCACCCGCCCACGUGGACACACACGGAAGCCCAACGGCGGAAGCCCUCGAGGGCAGGGACGAGAACCAUUCGCCGGGGAUCACAAUCAGCUCGCUCAUGCAUCGCGCAUUUGGCCCCUUGCUCGCUUCGAUCCGCACAGCAGUACGCGCCACGUUCGUCCGUUGCACCUCGGGGGAGACAGAGAGUAAUAAUGCUCGCGCAUUAACCCAUCGCCGCAGUCUGUUGCGUUAUACGCGUGACGGUUGCUUUUAAAGAACGUGCGGUAUAUUAUCGGCGCAAUUUUUUAUAGACUCGCUGCAGAACGCGGUGGUGGAUGAGCGCGCAACGCUUUUUCUGCGAGACCGAGCGGUGGCGGUAUUUUGCAAUAUAUAUUUUGAUAUUUGUCUGUGCCAGAAAUGUGCUCUUGUACUGGAUGUAUUUUCGAGGUAAAAUGUUGCGAGCAAUAAUCGGAGGGUAAUAAAUGUCGACGGUGACGCGACGAAACUUGGUUGAAAGGGACCGGACUUUGUGGGGUUUGCCACGUGUUGCCGAAAAUUGGCGAGUUCCACUUGGCUGCACCGGGCAGAAUCGAACGAUACCGCGUCGAUGGGUUAUUUGUGGAGGUCGAUUCUUUUGUAAUACAUUCGAGGGCCAUCGAACCGGGCUUAUUAUUGCCACGCGACCACUCGCGUCGAGUGGGAGGUAUAAUGAAUGAAUUUGGUGAUUGUUACGGGUAUACGUUGCAUUAAUCUCGACAUUUAUAAUUUUCGACAUUCAAUUUCCCGAAAAUUCAUCGAACUUUACUCUUUCAUCCGUUUAUUGGCGUCGAACACUUAAUCGAGCUCGAAAAUGUGUUAUGAGAUUAUAAAAAUUUUAUAUGUUUUUGUACUAAAAGCCCUUUUACAACGUAAACUCAUUGGCGACUGCCGCGUUUUACCGGAAUUAUUAUGCAUUAAUGAGAGCAUAAUCACGUUGAAAACGCGAGCGUAUGACGAUAGCCAACUAACGUGACGCGCGUUUGUGCGCAUUUCGGGUUCUCGACCUUUAACGUUAAUACUUUGGUGUAUAUCGGAUUUCGAGCGAUCAGAAAAACUGCGCCGCCCACUGCGUUUCAACGAGUAACACACGUGUGCGUGCGUGGGCAAGAAUUAAUCGGGAUAUUUAUAUCGCGCAUAACGUCGAUCAUUCUCGCCGCGCGAUAUUGAAUAACGGUGUUCAAAAGCCAGGAUAGUUAUCGUCGCGUUAAUAUCGCGGAGAAACGAGCAGUGCGGUCGCAGAAAUAUGCUCGGGAAGCGCUUUACUCUGCAUCCGCGUCGCAUUUGAGAAAAUCAAGAAAAAGAAAAAAGGAAUAACAAGUGAAGAGCUGCAGCCGCACGAGAGAGGAACGGAAAAGGAAGGAGCGUCGCCGGUGUAAGGUAGCUCAACUGCUCUGCGCAAAGAGAGCGGCGAGAUGAAAUAACGGGCCGGGUGGUCGCGCGCGAAAUGGAAUGAAAAUUCGCGCGGAAACGGAGGAGCGAGAACGCGAAAAAUUAAACUCUGCCACCCUCCGUCCACCGCCCCGCUUCUCAUCCUCUCUCUUUCUCUCUCUCUCUCGCUCGCUCCAUCCGUUUUCCUUUCCGACUCCUCCACCCUGCGAACCGCGGCUUUUUGUCCCGUUCGCGAGUGAAGAGAGGAAGCGAGAGGGAGAAAGCCGAUCCGUGUUUGCGAGCCGAAUGUGAUUGAAAUCAAAACGCCGCGGUGCUGCGUUUUCCCUUCCUCCUCCCUUUCCCCCCCAGGGGGAUGGCAGGAAAAUCGGAAAAACGGCCGAUCCGCAAAUCAACUAUGUACGCAACGUCGCCGCAGCGUCGGCGAAUUGUUUUGCUUUUCGCUUGUACCUCUCGCACGCUCGGUUAACCGGCAAGCGAUGUAUUAUAAAAGAGCACGGCCACCGAAUGUUUGCGGUAUAUCGGUUUUUUUUUCUGUGUUUUUUUCUUUUUUUAAAUUUAUUUAAGGAAUGUUGCGAAUUUCUGAAAUUGAAUUAGAUUUGAAAUUUCGGAGAAAUUUUUUCUCUCUCAACUCGAUACAGCUGGUUGCGCGGAUAAGUUGUUGCUUCGUCUCGAGAGUCCGCCGCGCGAAAUUACUGUCGCUACUUCCCGCCUGCGGAUUUCUAGCGCAAGGCGCAAUCAGAGCACGACUUUCUGAGAAGUUUACACUUCAGCGAGUCGCGAUUCGUCAUUGCGACCGGCGAUUUUCCCUCGCCGAUAAACUUCCCGUGAGAGGCAGGUCCGCGGCAGCGAAAUUCAGUAGAUAGAUAACGCGAGGCGAGAAGAUUGCGGAGCCAUUAAACUACCCGCGCGCCGGGUAUACAUUGUUGCGCGAGUGCGCCUCGACCAGUUGUGGCAAUAACGGCAUCGUUAGGUGAUCUGCAAUUAUUUUCGUGGCGUGUUAUUAUCCUGUUCAAGGAUGGGAGGGUUGCCUCCGGGUUCUCACCGCGCAAUUUGACGGCACGGAGGGUCCUCGUCCGUCUCCUCCUCGCGUUGCCUGCCGACUUAGCGACGUUAAUUACAAGGCCCGAUAAGACGCGCCGUGCAUCAAGUUUUAUCACCCUGUUAAUGCGCUUGUGCGUUUCAUAUCUCGUACGACGAGUGCAGUUCGCGUGAUCGUAAACGCGCUUGCCUCGUAGAACCUUGCGAGAAGGAUUCCAUUCCUUCUAAGUGUUCGUUUGAUCCCGCGACUCGCGUGAAAACGCGAAAAGAUCCAUCAACGAGAUUUUCAGGCGCAUUCAGCAAGUCUUGAAUUCGAUCUCUAUGAUCCUUUACUCUGAUUCUCGCGCGGAUUAUAUCUCUCUUUUUCAUUAUAUUGAUCGAUCGACGAAUAUUAAUUUACAUGUACAUAAACUCGGAAUUGCUCUGCACCAGCGAAACUCGCGGAUUAUUCGGCUAUCGGUCUUCGUUUUUUUCAAUCUGCAUUUCGCGACAUCGAAAUCGUGCGCGAUCUACGGGGACGUGUCGCGAGAAAGGAAUUCCAAAUCCCGAGCUAGCACUAGUCAGUCGAGAGAGAGCUCCAACAGGUACAUGGCGCCGUCCCUCGGGACGCCGCGUACACGAGGGGCAGCGGAAGGGCCAACCCUUUUAGCGAUUUUCUCACCCCCGUCGCUACACGCUCGGCGCUGCUCGCCAGGGGCGCGCACACGCACGCGAAUUACUACCUCUUCCUCCCCUCGCUGCCGAGUCGUGAGCGUGGAAACACGUGAGGUCUCCUAGCGGAAGGGUGGCACGCUACGGGGGGGUGCGAGAUGAAGUCGAUAGCGGGGGCUCGAGAACCCAUCGCCGUUGCCGGGCGUCGACAAUUAGCGCGCCCCGACGCAAAUCGUCCCCUAAUCCGGAGCUUAUUUCCUACACGCCAUUGAGCCGCAGGCCGGCUGAAGAGUCCCGUAUGGCCGGACAGAAAAAGAAGCGUGAGAAGUAUACAGAAACACAGGGCAAUAUGUGCAGAUGAGUAUCGAAUGUUUAGUUUGCAAAAUUAUUGACUUUUCAUUUAGCGGUCGUUCUCCCUCGCACAUGCAUCCGCGAGAUUCGAAAAAUGAAAGAAGAUCAAGUGCAAGAAUAAAUAUGUCAAUCGGAAAACACGGAGGAGCAAGAAUAUUUCAUGUUAAAAGCAUAGAACCAAGGGAAGGGGAGGAUAUUUUUAUAUUACUAAAGGUAAAAGUAUCAACACUAAAAAUACACGGGAACGGAAACGAAUUAUCGAUAUUUUAUUACCGGCGAACUUAAUGCAGCGAUGCUCGAAAUACUCGGUAGAAGACCUACCGAUUCCAUCGUAGCCUUAACUGCCUGCCCGUUACGUCGUAAGGGAGUUGAAAACGACCGGCGCGCAUUCGCGCUCACGCGUUUACGCUCGCGCGUGCAAAGGCAGACGACGGGGAAUAUUUUCCAUGGCGUGCGCAUUCGUUAUUCGACCGGUCGAUGCCGGGUAAUUGAAUACGCGGCUUUUAUACGCGGUCGAGGGUGGUGUGUGCGCGGCUCGUAUACAGGAUGACGGCGAGAAUGGAGGGUUGGUUUCUCUCUCUCUCUCUCUCUCUCUCUCUCUCUCUCAAUAAAGGAUAGGGUGGUAGAGAAGAGAGACAGGGGAGAGUUUAGCACACAGUUCGUACCGAAACGCGUAGGACGGCGGGCGAACGAGAAGAGUGGAUUGGCGUGUGGGGUGCACGAGGUGGAACGCGACGGAGGGAUCGCGGGGGUAGCUCGCUCGGUGUGUGUUCCGCUGUUCCGGGGUUUUAUAGCGGCGGUCGGAAUUAAUGAGGGGCCGUGUUUUCACGGCGACCGAGUGGCGGUGCAGAUUUCAUUUUACUAUUUACCCCGGGGAAUUUAUUUGGCAACGAGCGGCGAACCGGCGCGCGGCACUCACGCGCGUUGGCUGUUGUCAGGCUUGUUGGAGGGGUUGACGAUGACGAUGCGCGACACGACCGUCACGUUUGACACCGCGACGAUUCCGACGAAUCCUCCUACUUGCGUCAAUCGUGUCAAUCAGGUCAAUUGGCGGGUCUCUUUGAGGAUUUCAAUAAUUCUAAUUGAUGUUCCAAACGCUGCCUGAUGAAGAAAUUCACGGCUAAGUUAAUUGUUAACGUUGCGAGAUGUCCAACAGUACGCUUCUCUAUCCCGAAAAGAUAUUAUAUAUCGUUCUGGUGUCGCGUCAGAAAUCAGACAUCACAAAUAGGACUUUAUACGAUGACCUCUAGAAGUCGUUUCGUCUAAAUAGCCCUUUAGUCGCUCCCCCUUUUCCAUCCGCUCUUUUCACCCCCUUCUUCACGUGGCGGACGGGGGAGAAUGGCCGUGGGAGUCGUCGCAGCCCCACCGGUGCCGGCGAACAAAACGUUAUUAAAUCGUGAAUUCGCGUCACGUUUCACGAUCUAACGAAUUAAUAUGGAAAUUCCGAAGCACCUUACGAACGAACGAACGAACGGCGUCGACGCGAAAUCCCACGGGCACCCCCGGGAGCAACGGGCAAGAAGAUCGCGUCGCAUUGGCGUCGACAUUCUGAUUCCACCCUCGUUUUCACCAGUAGCUAGCCGGUAAUCGAAAGUUCGGAUACUUAAUGAUGUUUAUCGAUCGUGAGGAGCGAAACUUAAUACCAGAAAUCGAGCGUGAGAUAAAUGUGUGUAAAAUUACAUGCUAGUAUUUAAUUAUAGUAGCAUAUAAAAAUAUGUAGUAUAGAAGCUCAUAGAGCGUCCGCGUUUGAGGGGUUGAAAUCAAGAGGGUAGCGGAGUCUAAUUUACAAACCUAUUGGAAUAUGAAACCGCAUUUAGCGAGAAAAUUGUAGACUCGGUGCACUCCGUUUCGUCAAAUCCAUCAAUUGGGGGAACAUAGCAAUUUCGUACAUGUGUAGAGGGGUGCUUAUGUAAUCGUUAGUUUUUGUGCGGUAACGGAGAUUCAACUGGAUCGUCUACGGGGAAGACGUACAAAUGUGACGAAACUCUACGCCCAUGAUUACGGUCGUAGCGUUACCGGGGCUAAAAUGAAACGUAUAUUUGAGGUUACGGCGGAUCAGGGGUUGGAGCCUGGCGGGCCCUGGAGUCGUUUAUAUGGUGAUUCAAUGGGGGUGCUUGGCAAAAUGUCAAGGGACUCGUAAGGGUGGCCUCGAGUUUCGGCGGGUUUUCAAGCCCGCCGUCGCCCUUGGUACCCCUGCUGGUUAUUCGUGCAAAAAUCUCACGUUCGCAGCGUUUCGUGCGUUUCGCGAACGGUAAGGAACGAACUUUUCGUGAUAACACCGACGAGGAAACUCCCUGAGAAGUUUUCCUAAAGUGGAAUUUAUCGGUCGUGCGAUGCUAAAAGCGAGCCAGGAGAAAUCAAGAGAUCUUUCUACAAAGAUACUUUUAUUAAUAUAUUCAUCACAUCGAUUGCUCGCUCCGCGAUAAAAAUAGAAACGUCGAGUAAUUGUCCCAUACAUCUGUACAUCUUUCAUACU